AUUUCCUGAGUAGCGGCGAGCGAAACGGAAUUAGCCCAAACCAAGAGGCUUGCCUCUUGGGGUUGUAGGACACUCAACAUGGAGUUACAAAGGAACGGGGUAAAUGAAGCGAUCUGGAAAGGUCCGGCAAAGAAGGUAAAAACCCUGUAGUUGAAACUUCGUUCCCUCCUGAGUGGAUCCUGAGUACGGCGGGACACGAGAAAUCCCGUCGGAAGCAGGGAGGACCAUCUCCCAAGGCUAAAUACUCCCUAGUGACCGAUAGUGAACCAGUACCGUGAGGGAAAGGUGAAAAGCACCCCGGAAGGGGAGUGAAAUAGAUCCUGA
rnacentral:rRNA from 1 species